rnacentral:rRNA from 1 species
AUUGAACGCUGGCGGCAUGCCUUACACAUGCAAGUCGAACGGCAGCACGGGUGCUUGCACCUGGUGGCGAGUGGCGAACGGGUGAGUAAUAUAUCGGAACGUACCUUAUUGUGGGGGAUAACGCAGCGAAAGCUGUGCUAAUACCGCAAUCCCUAAGGGGGAAAGCGGGGGACCGUAAGGCCUCGCGCAAUUAGAGCGGCCGAUACCUGAUUAGCUAGUUGGUGAGGUAAAGGCUCACCAAGGCAACGAUCAGUAGCUGGUCUGAGAGGACGAUCAGCCACACUGGGACUGAGACACGGCCCAGACUCCUACGGGAGGCAGCAGUGGGGAAUUUUGGACAAUGGGGGCAACCCUGAUCCAGCAAUGCCGCGUGAGUGAAGAAGGCCUUCGGGUUGUAAAGCUCUUUUGUCAGGGAAGAAACAGCAGCUCUAACACAGUUUGCGAAUGACGGUACCUGAAGAAUAAGCACCGGCUAACUACGUGCCAGCAGCCGCCGUAA